UUAUACAUGCAAGUCGUACGAGGGCUUUUAGCCUUAGUGGCGGACGGGUGAGUAACACGUGAGAAUCUGCCCUUAGGAGGAGGAUAACAGCUGGAAACGGUUGCUAAUACUCCAUAUGCCGAGAGGUGAAAGGAUUUAUCCACCUAAGGAGGAGCUCGCGUCUGAUUAGCUAGUUGGUAGGGUAAUGGCCUACCAAGGCGACGAUCAGUAGCUGGUUUGAGAGGAUGAUCAGCCACACUGGGACUGAGACACGGCCCAGACUCCUACGGGAGGCAGCAGUAGGGAAUUUUCCGCAAUGGGCGAAAGCCUGACGGAGCAAUACCGCGUGAGGGAUGACGGCCUGUGGGUUGUAAACCUCUUUUCUCAAGGAAGAAGUUCUGACGGUACUUGAGGAAUAAGCAUCGGCUAACUCUGUGCCAGCAGCCGCGGUAAUACAGAGGAUGCAAGCGUUAUCCGGAAUCACUGGGCAUAAAGCGUCUGUAGGUGGUUUGGUAAGUCUGCUGUUAAAGACUGGGGCUCAACCCCAGAAAAGCAGUGGAAACUGCCAGACUUGAGUGUGGUAGAGGUAGAGGGAAUUCCUAGUGUAGCGGUGAAAUGCGUAGAUAUUAGGAAGAACACCAAUGGCGAAGGCACUCUACUGGACCAUAACUGACACUGAGAGACGACAGCUAGGGGAGCAAAUGGGAUUAGAUACCCCAGUAGUCCUAGCCGUAAACGAUGGAUACUAGAUGUUGCACGUAUUAACCCGUGCAGUAUCGUAGCUAAGGCGUUAAGUAUCCCGCCUGGGAAGUACGCUCGCAAGAGUGAAACUCANAGGAAUUGACGGGGGCCCGCACAAGCGGUGGAGUAUGUGGUUUAAUUCGAUGCAACGCGAAGAACCUUACCAGGGCUUGACAUGUCACAAAUCUUUCUGAAAGGAAAGAGUGCCUUCGGGAAUGUGAACACAGGUGGUGCAUGGCUGU
rnacentral:rRNA from 1 species